GGUAGGGUGGUAGCCAAUGAACCGCGUGUACACUAUGAACCAUAGUACCUACCGGCCAUACCUAACGUUGCUAGCUCGCGCAAAAUUAUGUCGAGACUCCCUUGCCACGUCAAGAAGUUUGGUCUAUUCGCCGUGGGUCUGUCGCGAUAUACUCACCUGUGAGCCGCAUCUUAGUCUUCUACUCAAGCAAAAACGACAAAAAAAAGCAUGGGGCGAAACACGGUAGGGAGGAAAGCACGUAAAAGGGUAUCACACCGCGGAAGCUACAGAAAGAGGUAUAGAAAAAACACUUGUCGGGAUUAAGCAUUCGAAAAGCAGCAAAAACUGCAACCUUCUCUAUCCAGUAUUGCGACAGACGAAGUGUUUGUGCGAAGAUAUGUCACAAACAAAGUACAGGAACAAUCCGUCUUGUAGACUAGAGCCCCAUUAUGAUGCAAGUAAAUUUCUUACUGCCCAACAUGAAGACAGCAUAAAGAAAUGUUGAUGGUUACAAUUUGUGAUUUGGACAAUAAAAAAACAUAAGUCUGAAUGUGAUAAAAACACGUCGACUUUAUAAUGCUAAGAGCAUUUUAAUUAAUAUAAAUAUACAAGUACAA